GUGCCAGCCGCCGCGGUAAUACCGGCAGCUCAAGUGAUGUCCCAUAUUAUUGGGCCUAAAGCGUCCGUAGCUGGCCGACCAAGUCUCCCGGGAAAUCCACCCGCCCAACGGGUGGGCGUCCGGUAGAAACUGGCCGGCUUGGAACCGGAAGGCUCAGAGAGUACGUCCGGGGUAGGAGUGAAAUCCCGUAAUCCCGGACGGACCGCCGGUGGCGAAAGCGCCUCAGGAGGACGGACUCGACAGUGAGGGACGAAAGCCAGGGUCUCGAACCGGAUUAGAUACCCUUGUAGUCC
rnacentral:rRNA from 1 species